AAAAAUAUCUACCGGUACUUCACGACACGUUCCGGGAGACAUCGGGAGAAUCUCCGGGUUCAAUUUUGAGGAGAUCUGCGGUGUUCAAAACAGCAGGCUGACGACUAGGUAUUCCCCAGGCAUUUGACAAGGAACUCUGACAGCAGAAGUCGGGACUGCAGAAUCAGUGAACAGUUUUGAAACACGGUUGGACCUGUGCUGGGGGAAGAAGGAGUACUGCGUGUGACAGGAGGGUGACACGACAGGAAGCAAAGCCUAAUUCACCUAGGAAUCCUGCAAGGUAUCCCCACAAGCAAAAUUCAUGUCUGGACGCACUAAGAGAGGAGCUGGAUAAGGGAGGUGCCACGCAGCAGCGUCACUGAAGGUGUUUCUCGACAUCAGUGCAUCACCAAGCCAAGAAGGCACCAAGCCCAACACGAACUCUUACAGCAAAAGUCGUCACUGCAGAAUCAGUGAACAGUUAUGAAACACGGUUGGACCUGUGCUGGGGGAAGAAGGAGUGCUGUGUGUGACAGGAGGCCUAGGGUGACACGACAGGCAGCAAAGCCUAAUUCACCUAGGAAUCCUGCAAGGUAUCCCCACAAGUGGGAAGUUGCCGGGAAGGAGACAUCUUCCAGAAUCAACUACAGCUGCAAUGGUGGGACUGAUCCCGGUGAGAGGUUGUCUAAUACCAAGUACGCCAUCUCCACAGCCAGAAGGCCGAUGUUCGUGUGUACGCCAUACCAGAGGACCUGAAACUGUUAAGUUCUUACAUAUCUUAGGGUUUGAUCGUUUAAAACGGAAUCAUCUUGCAGAAAUGGGCUGGGAUUGACUUGACAUCGGCAUGAUAGGAAGUAAAUGAUCUGUGAUGUUACAUUCAUAACUUUAGCUGAUAUUAAGAUUCCCUUUGUCUACAUGAGGCAUUGUCGGCAGGGCUGAUCAGUCUCUUGGUUGGUGGCGAGGUGCUUGAGUGUGUUUUGUUGACACCCUGAGUGAUGUUGUUGGUAGGUGGCUAGGGCAUUUUGUGAGUUGGGGCUUCUUUUGCACACGGUACCUCAGCCCGUUUCUGUGGUGUACAGGCCCGGUGUGUGGCUGGUUUGGCUUCUGUGACUGUGUU